GUUAGAUGUGGUUGUUGCCAUAUCAUAAGGGAAAGCAUUGGAUGCUUAUAAUAAUUGAUUUUGAUCACCAAUUGUGCUAUUUCCUGGAUUCUCUUCACAAUUUUCCACCAGAUGAAAUCAAAUCUCUCAUUUCUCGUGUCUUUCAACAUUUACGCACAAAUAAUGCGAAAACUAAGG